AUUGAACGCUGGCGGCAGGCUUAACACAUGCAAGUCGAGCGGUAGCACAGGGGAGCUUGCUCCCUGGGUGACGAGCGGCGGACGGGUGAGUAAUGUCUGGGAAACUGCCUGAUGGAGGGGGAUAACUACUGGAAACGGUAGCUAAUACCGCAUAACGUCGCAAGACCAAAGAGGGGGACCUUCGGGCCUCUUGCCAUCAGAUGUGCCCAGAUGGGAUUAGCUAGUAGGUGGGGUAAUGGCUCACCUAGGCGACGAUCCCUAGCUGGUCUGAGAGGAUGACCAGCCACACUGGAACUGAGACACGGUCCAGACUCCUACGGGAGGCAGCAGUGGGGAAUAUUGCACAAAGGGCGCAAGCCUGAUGCAGCCAUGCCGCGUGUGUGAAGAAGGCCUUCGGGUUGUAAAGCACUUUCAGCGAGGAGGAAGGUGGUGAGCUUAAUACGCUCAUCAAUUGACGUUACUCGCAGAAGAAGCACCGGCUAACUCCGUG
rnacentral:rRNA from 1 species